GCCCUCUCAGAAUGGCACCUGGAGAGUUUCUAGUAUUUUACCAGUCUCGGCUAUGGGAGGGAAAGUCAAGCAGAGGCCGAACCAUUCCAUUCCUAGCUUGGCUAGUGAGUGGAAGGCAAUCUGCGACAAGU
rnacentral:snoRNA from 2 species